AACUCCUUGCUAAUGGUGGAGCAUUCUCCUUCUCUGCCCUUGGUAUCCAAGUCCCCCACUCUGAUUUUAGGGAUGGAUGUGUCACAUGGCUCACCUGGGCGUUCCGAUGUGCCUUCUAUUGCAGCGGUGGUCAGUUCCAGGAAAUGGCCUUUGAUUUCUCGUUACCGAGCUGCAGUUCGUACUCAAUCACCAAAAGUAGAAAUGAUUGCUAAUCUGUUCAAGCCUGUGUCUAAUAAAGAGGACCAAGGCAUAAUCAAGUUGGCUCCUAUCUCCUCCUAUACUCUGCCACUUUGAUUUUUUUGUGAAUGUAUAAUUAUACAAACCUUACUAUUGCGGUAUGAAAUUGUUUACAUAGAUUCUGCUC